UCGAGCGAAUGACGAAGAAGCUUGCUUCUUCUGAUUUAGCGGCGGACGGGUGAGUAACACGUGGGCAACCUGCCCUGUAGAUUGGGAUAACUCCGGGAAACCGGGGCUAAUACCAAAUAAUCCAUUUCCUCACAUGUGGAAAUGUUAAAAGACGGUUUCGGCUGUCACUACAGGAUGGGCCCGCGGCGCAUUAGCUAGUUGGUAGGGUAACGGCCUACCAAGGCGACGAUGCGUAGCCGACCUGAGAGGGUGAUCGGCCACACUGGGACUGAGACACGGCCCAGACUCCUACGGGAGGCAGCAGUAGGGAAUCUUCCACAAUGGACGAAAGUCUGAUGGAGCAAUGCCGCGUGAGUGAAGAAGGUUUUCGGAUCGUAAAACUCUGUUGUAAGGGAAGAACAAGUACGAGAGUAACUGCUCGUACCUUGACGGUACCUUAUUAGAAAGCCACGGCUAACUACGUGCCAGCAGCCGCGGUAAUACGUAGGUGGCAAGCGUUGUCCGGAAUUAUUGGGCGUAAAGCGCGCGCAGGCGGUCCUUUAAGUCUGAUGUGAAAUCCCACGGCUCAACCGUGGAAGGUCAUUGGAAACUGGGGGACUUGA
rnacentral:rRNA from 1 species